rnacentral:rRNA from 1 species
GUGUCAGCAGCCGCGGUAAUACGUAGGGUGCGAGCGUUAAUCGGAAUUACUGGGCGUAAAGCGUGCGCAGGCGGUUCGUUAAGUUCGUUGUGAAAGCCCCGGGCUCAACCUGGGAACUGCAAUGGAAACUGGCGGGCUUGAAUGCGGCAGAGGGGGGUGGAAUUCCGCGUGUAGCAGUGAAAUGCGUAGAGAUGCGGAGGAACACCGAUGGCGAAGGCAGCCCCCUGGGCCGACAUUGACGCUCAGGCACGAAAGCGUGGGGAGCAAACAGGAUUAGAUACCCUGGUAGUCCACGCCCUAAACGAUGCUCACUAGGUGUUGGGGAAGCGAUUCCUUGGUACCGUAGCUAACGCGUGAAGUGAGCCGCCUGGGGAGUACGGCCGCAAGGUUAAA